rnacentral:rRNA from 1 species
CCUACGGGCGGCAGCAGUGAGGAAUAUUGGUCAAUGGGCGCGAGCCUGAACCAGCCAAGUCGCGUGAAGGAUGACUGCCCUACGGGUUGUAAACCUCUUUUAUAAAGGAAUAAAGUGAGGCACGUGUGCCUUUUUGUAUGUACUUUAUGAAUAAGGAUCGGCUAACUCCGUGCCAGCAGCCGCGGUAAUACGGAGGAUGCGAGCGUUAUCCGGAUUUAUUGGGUUUAAAGGGAGUGUGGGCGGGUUGUUAAGUCAGUUGUGAAAGUUUGGGGCUCAACCGUAAAAUUGCAAUUGAUACUGGCUGUCUUGAGUACAGUUGAGGUAGGCGGAAUGCGUGGUGUAGCGGUGAAAUGCUUAGAUAUCACGAAGAACUCCGAUUGCGAAGGCAGCUUACUAACCUGCCACUGACAUUGAUGCUCGAAAGUGUGGGUAUCAAACAGGAUUAGAUACCCGAGUAGUC